rnacentral:rRNA from 1 species
CAUGCAAGUCGAACGGUGAACCUUGCUGUAAAGCGAGGGGAUCAGUGGCGCACGGGUGAGUAGCACGUAGGUGACCUGCCCCAAAGAGGGGAAUAACUUCGCGAAAGCGUAGCUAAUACCCCAUGUGAUCGGCCAUUCGUUUGGUCGAUGAAAGCUACAGCGCAAGCUGUGGUGCUUUGGGAGGGGCCUGCGGCCCAUCAGCUAGUUGGUAGGGUAAUGGCCUACCAAGGCGACGACGGGUAGCUGGUCUGAGAGGAUGAUCAGCCACAAUGGCACUGAAACACGGGCCAUACUCCUACGGGAGGCAGCAGUGAGGAAUAUUGCACAAUCAGCGAAAGCUGGAUGCAGCAACGCCGCGUGGACGAUGAAGGCCCUCGGGUUGUAAAGUCCUUUUGAGAGGGACGAGGACGGACGUACC